CUUCUUUUGAGGAAAUUUCUGCUCUCUCAUUAUGGGCAGUACGUGUAGGAUUACAAAUCAACACACCUGACUUCUUUUAGCAGUGAGCAAUGGUAGGUUCAUAGCAUGGUGGAGAGCAUACAUAGAACCAAAGCCACUUACAUUCUCUGAGAUCUGAACCUUGAGUGAAGUAAGCCACAGUCUGUUGCUGUUACUUGCAAACAAAGAACCUUCAAUCACUUUAAGGUUGACUAAGACAGCACUUCGUUCAGUCGGGACUUUGGCAUCUAAAUUCUGCCACGAAGAUGUCGCCUGCAGACCUGAAGUCUGACGAUACAUCACUCGGUAGCCUUGGAUAAACUGGGGUUGGCGAUCAACCUGAAAAACAUAGUUAAGGGCAUUUGAAACUAAAGGAAAGUAUUUUAGACAACACAAUGAAUUUGUCCUCUUUUCAUUUGUCCCAUUUCUGUCCUCAUAACUAUCAACUGAGUGAUGUCAUGACUUUCUAGCUAAUCUCUCUGCUUCUAAUAACUUCUAUCCUUUUAGAGUUCAGAUUGCUCCUAAGAUUGUUUCCAAAAUGAAGAUUGGGAGAACUCUCUCUCCUGUUUAAAAUACCUCACAGUAUCUAAGAUACCAACCUAAUUAAUUAAGAUGCCUUGGAUUAGCACAAGGGCCUCUCAAAGGCCAGACCUGCCAGUAUCUCUAACUUUAUGUCUCCUCUGCUUACCCAUUUUCUGCAUCCAACAAUUCCCUUUUAUGUGGCUUUAUAUGUAAUAUGCCCUUUGUCAGGGAUUUCCAUUCUCAUUCUUUGUCUAUUCACUAACAUCAUCACUCAAUCAAAACACAUGUUUUGGGUUCCUACUCAUAGGUGCCAGAAAUUCUGCUGAGCUCUGGGGAUAAAAUGGACAAUGAAAAUAGAGUCAGCCCCUGCCCUCAUGAGCUGAGGUGAGAAGAUGGAGUCCAGGUAGAAGGUGGAAGCAGAAAUGAAAACACUGAACAUUUACUUUAAAAAAAAUAGAGAAGAGAUUACUAUUAACAUUGCCUUUGAAAGCUUACCGUCCAUGUGACCUGAACCGUGGUGGGAGUCAGCACAACUGGAUUAUGAAGACGGACAAGGACAUCUCCUAGCUCUUUCUGCACUUGCCUGUGGUCCACUCCUUGUGCUGGUGGGCUGAUAUCUGCAGUUAGAGAAGAGAAUCAUUCCCACCUUUAAAAAUUCAUAUUAAAAUUACAAUUUAUUUUAUGUAAAUCAACCUCAUGUCUUUAGAACUAAUUACAGGGAAACAAAACGAAAACUCUCUUGUGACAAAAAGCAUUUAAGCCUAUAUAUAUAAAUAUACCACUGUGGUAGGACAUAAUGAAAGAUGAUAUUGAUCUUUAUUAAAAAUAUACUAAUAGAAGAGUAUUUGUAAUCCCUCAUCCGCAUUCAAAUGCAGACACACUGUUGUAUAAGAUCACUUACUUUAUUACUAAAGGAUAAAGUAUGUGCUGUAAGACUUCUCUACAGAAGUCUAGAAAGAUCUCUAGAAAGAGCAGCUUUGUACAGAUGUUGGUGUAUUGAAUGAUUUUCUGGAUGUGUAAAUUGGGAUAUAUCUAAAAACUGAUGCUAAGGGACCUGUUAAUCCCUUGUCCCAAUUUGCAGGUUGUGUUUUCUUCUUGACCUACUUCAGUCUGGGAGCAUGGAUGGAGAAGUAAUGGUGGACUAGGAAAGUGAAUUCUGUCAUUAAAGGUAAAUAGAGUUGGGGGAAGAGGGGAAACAGCUCCUCAAAUUUGCAAAGAUACUUUUGACAGAAAUAGUUAUAAUACUGAUAACAUGUUCUAAAGUAAUACAUUUUGAGCAGUACUCUAAUACCUGACACGAGGUCAUGCAGACAUGUUUAGGAAUAGUGGUGGGGAGAAGGGAAGAAAGAAAGGUCAUGUUUAAAAUAUUAUACCCUCAGUCACACAUUGUUAUGCCACAUUAUUCAUCAGUCUCCUAAGUACUAUUCUAUUUCUCCAUAUGAUGGUUUAUAUUCUCGGUCCAUUAAGAAAAAAGGAUAAAUUAUAGGCUGUGUCCAUUAAGAAAAAAUGAUAAAUCGUAAGCAGCUAAGUCCAUCAAAUUGAUAUUAAACAUUGAAUUUUACACAUACUCAGAUUAACUUUUUAAGCUGGCACACAAUGUUGUUGAAUUGUUUUUCUCCAACUAUUGUAUUUAAGAAAGGAAGUCCAAUUUAAAGUUAUUUAUUUUCGUAAUCCUGUUUUUUCUUAUUAUCUCAGGCUACAAUGCAUGCAGCACUCUCGCGAAAGUAUUUUUAAGAACAUUUCUCAGCUAUUACUUAAAUUGGGAGCACUAACUUAAAUUGGGUCGUAAAUAAUUGAGACUAAUACUUAGGUAAUGUUUUUCCAGUU
rnacentral:lncRNA from 10 species